rnacentral:tRNA from 1 species
ACUAUUUUGGCAGAAUUGAGUGUAAUAGAUUUAGAAUCUAUAUAUGUAAUAUUAUUACAAAUAGUA